rnacentral:rRNA from 1 species
UAAUACCGGAUAGAUCAAAGAUACUGGAAUGUUCCUUGAUCCAAAGCUCCGGCGUCCAAGGAUGGAUCUGCGGCCUAUCAGGUAGUAGUGGGUGUAACGUACCUACUAGCCUACGACGGGUACGGGUUGUGAGAGCAAGAGCCCGGAGAUGGAUUCUGAGACAUGAAUCCAGGCCCUACGGGGCGCAGCAGGCGCGAAAUCUUUACAAUGCAGGAAACUGCGAUAAGGGGACCCCGAGUGCCAGCAUCUAAUGCUGGCUGUCCAGCUGUGUAAAUAGCAGUUGUUAGCAAGGGCCGGGCAAGACCGGUGCCAGCCGCCGCGGUAACACCGGCGGCCCGAGUGGUAACCGAUUUUAUUGGGUUUAAAGGGUCCGUAGCCGGCCUAUUAAGUCUCUUGGGAAAUCUGGCGGCUUAAUCGUCAGGCGUCC